GCCGACUGAAUCCUCAGCCGGGGCCACGAAAACUCCGCCGACAUGACUUUGGCUCCUCUCUUUUCGGAGCUGUUAAUCAUCCCUUCCACUGCCUCACUCUCGUAAUCAUACACCGUCAGCAGCUUCCUACUGGUCUUGAACGGGUAAGAUUCCGCCACAAGUUUAAAAGCCGAUGUUCUGUUGGCAGUGAAAACCAUGCUGUAAUCAUUUUCUGAUAUGUUAAGAAAAUCCAUAAUCCUGUUUCUCAUUGCAGAUUCCAGCUCUGAUUCCUGGCCGCCAUGAAGCAGCUGCGUCUUCAAACUCCCUGUCUUGUACGACAAACUAAAGAAGGGGAAAUCCGACCUCACUUGAGAAGAGGAUUCGUGAUUGUGCAGCUGAGAAGAGGAGAAGAGGCC
rnacentral:lncRNA from 1 species